UAAAACGUAGGACGCGAGCGUUAUCCGGAUUUACUGGGCGUAAAGCGCGGGCAGGCGGCGGUCCAAGUCGGACGUGAAAGCUCCUGGCUCAACUGGGAGAGGUCGUUCGAGACUGGGUCGCUAGAGGACGGUAGAGGCAUGUGGAAUUCCGGGUGGAGUGGUGAAAUGCGUAGAGAUCCGGAGGAACACCAGAGGCGAAGGCGGCAUGCUGGGCCGUAACUGACGCUGAUCCGCGAAAGCCAGGGUAGCGAACGGGAUUAGAAACCCCGGUAGUCCUGGCCGUAAACGAUGUUCACUAGGUGUUGGGGGCCAACCCCGCAGCGCCGGAGCAAACGCGAUAAGUGAACCGCCUGGGGAGUACGGCCGCAAGGCUA
rnacentral:rRNA from 1 species